AUGUUCCCCGUUUCAAACUUGUUUCAACCCGGAAGCUGCUGUAGAGAUGAAGGACACACUUCGGAGCUACAUGUCAAAGUGGACAGGAGAGAGAAGUCACACAGCAGCGGCGAAGUGUCGUUCACAAUGAGAGCAACAGCCAAACACAAGGUGGUGACAUCAGGGAGGCUGACGGGAGGGGUCAAAGUGCAGCCGGCCAGAAGACAAGGGACUCCAAAUCCAGGGCCGCCCGCCCGCCCCGAGCCGGCCUACUCUCUGCACUCCACAGACGCAGAGGACCAGGUCACUACUCUCCACGAGGGUCUGGACCGCUGUGCUGCCUUGCUGGGUGGCAUCCUUCAGGCUGACGCGACAGCCUCACCAAGCGUUCCUACACCAGUGACGUGUGGAGCAGCCAAAACAAGACCAUCCACCUCACUUGGGAAGAAGCCCAUGAAGAAAGUACCUAAAAUGACAGUCCAGAGGAACUCUCCGUCCUGCCCACGAGCAGCAGGCGGCACCACUCCGAGAGCAACACACGCAUCUGGCUCUCCUGCUGCACACUCAGGAGUGAAGCUGCAUCCACCUCAGGGGCACACCAGAGUCCACGUCUCCCCAGCCCAGCCCCGCACCUCCGUCCUGCAGCCUGCGCUGCAGUCGUCUCGUCAGCCGGGGCAGCAGCCGCCUCCCGGUCAGACAGAACCCUGCCCGUCACACACGCACUGUAACGCGGGAGGAGGAGGAGGAGGAGGAGGAGGAGGAGGAGGAGGAGGAGUGUGUCCCGGUGAGAGACAUCGAUACCCAGCACGCUGCCACACGCACAACUGGUGGACACGGCUGUGCCAUGGAGGUGUCAACCAUCCGUCAGGACACACACUGCGAGGGAGUGAAGACAGUUCAAUAUCUGCUGGGAGAACUCAAGGCUCUGAUCACCGGACAAGGCAGUGUUGCAGAGAGGCUGCUCAGUCACCUGGAGCAGGCCGUGUCCUCACCGCUGCUGAAUGA
rnacentral:lncRNA from 1 species